rnacentral:rRNA from 1 species
CUCUAAUCAGACUGCCGGUGACAAACCGGAGGAAGGUGGGGAUGACGUCAAAUCAGCAUGCCCCUUAUGACCUGGGCUACACACGUGCUACAAUGGCUAGUACAACGAGUUGCGAACCCGCGAGGGUAAGCUAAUCUCUUAAAGCUAGUCUCAGUUCGGAUUGUAGGCUGCAACUCGCCUACAUGAAGUCGGAAUCGCUAGUAAUCGCGGAUCAGCACGCCGCGGUGAAUACGUUC